rnacentral:ncRNA from 2 species
AUGAAGGGUUCGGGAGAGAGCCAGAUUGUUGGCCGCCGAAGGUAUAAAUUGUAGCUAUGCCUGUUACAAUUAAGUUCUCAGGCAAAAGGACCGUACCUAGACA